AACUGUGGGGAGAGAGUAAGAGGAAGUAAUCAGAGAUAGUGGCUUGACUAAUGACAAGAGCAGCAAUAGCAGUAAACAUAAGAAAGAGAGUACUAGUGAGUUGAUGUAAAAACUUUCACAUAGACACACACGCACACACCGAAACGAAAUCAAUGCCCAAUGCACAGGUGUUCAUUUCAGCUUGUCAUCUUCCUAACGAAACCAUGAGGGAAAUAUUUCUAAAAUCUUCAAGAACCGAUCAUUUGGGUAUUGAAGCAAUUACACCUUCGUUAACCAAAAGGUGAUACUUUCAUCCCAUGUAUUUUGGUUUUUGAUCAUCACAGUAGACCCAACACAAAUCCCAUUAUUCUCUACAUCGACCCUAAUGAAUUGUCAGUGUUCAUGAGACAAUCGUUUGUUUUCCUUCUACCCAUAUUUCUGGCAAAUCUUUUUUCGUAAUUCUAUUUUAUUACAAAGACCAUUUUAUAAAAGGAUAAAAAAAAUUA